UGAAUGGUUUCUGGAUACAGGAUG
rnacentral:siRNA from 1 species